UGGAGUGGUUGAAAAUGAGUUUUAAUGACUCCAACCUAAGUGUAUGUAAACUUCCGACUUCAACUGUAAUUAGGCACGCCUUUCCAUUCUUUUGUUGUGCAUAUGGCGGAAGUGUGCGUGACCACUCAAAUGGAGGGGCAAGGGGAAGGAGUGAUUUGGCAUUCAGCUCAUGUCAUCAGAAGGCCUCUGAUUUGUCAUUUGACCCAGGCCUUCUUCAAAGACUGAAAUGAGGAUGCAUUGGUCUGUCUAGGAGCAGCGGUAUGAAAUGUGCGUAGAUAGAAAGCAAUUCAACCUCUACAUACAUGAUCAAUAUACACAUACGGAAAAUGAUACAGAGACAUACAGUGGUGUAUGUGUGAUUUUACAUUUUUCUCACGUUAUAUAUUUUCAUUUGAAACUUUGGACAUUUUUGAGAUCUCCUCAAGGUCGACCGAAGUUGAACUGGCUGGAAAGGAGAGCUUCUCUGACAUUUUGUUGAGUUUGUAUUCAUUUUCUUCACCAUGAAAGCAGGGAACGGACUUCUCUUCCAUGUUUUCACUUUAACACUACCUGUGGAUGUCUGGGCUGAUGGCCUUGCCAAAGGACUAGUGAAACGGCCUCGCCCAGAUUCUGAGAAUAUAUAUAAAUAUGUAUAUCUCUAACUAAAUAUGAAUAUAUCUUCUGAAUAAAUCUUCAUAUUGAAGGUGACGUGUAUGAAUAUGUAUGCACAAAACUCUCUCUGCUUGCCUUUUUGGCAUAGAUGACGUUUUUGUGGACUGGAUUGUGAUGGAGAUGGUCAUAUACUGUAGAUUCUCUACAGCGCCACCUAGCCCUCUGGAGGACAAAACAUAAAGACACCUUUUUGUUUCUUUCCCCAAUGCUGAGGGGUCACAUGGACAAUCCGGAAUGAAUUUUGACCUGGAAGUAAAUGUACAAAGGACCAUGUACAAAUGACUCUUUCUGUAGAUGUGUAUAAAACAACUUUAGGGAUAAAAAAAAAAGUAACAAAACGUCCAUUCUCUGGAGAGCCCAUGUUAAAUGUAAGUGUAUUCAUGCCAUAUCUUCCUGGUGAGCACUUACUUGUACAGACUCUGUAUUUUUCUUUAUUUCCUCUUGUUUGUGUUGGAGCGAUUGGAUCCAUACAGAAUGGGAAGGAGAGUGGAUAGUGUCUCGUCUGCUGGCCAAGGUCUACGAUAUUGGACACACACAUAAACAAAAACACACACACACCACACAGCAGACCCAGCAUUGCUCAGGACAGCCAAUAAUGACGAAGACAGCAGGACAGGGACAAUGACCUCACUUUGCGGUACACACAGGAUAUAGGAACCAAAUGUGUUUGUGUGUGUGUUUGAUUUCCUUUGUGUCUCUCUCUGUAUAGCUACCACUUAUAUAUUGUGAUGACGAGUAUGUGUCCGAGUUUGUAAGCAGUAACUUUCUGAGAACUAUUGUACAAAAAAUGCACUCAAUAAACGCCUUGGAAAAAGAGUCAA